UCACGUUGCCGAUAUUCAUUGCACGGCUUUCCCCUCGCUAUAAUGCGAUCCCAACUUUGGGAAUGAAGUUUGGUAUGAAAUAUCCAGAUGUAAUACCAAGAAUGCUCGCUUGGGAAAUGCCGAAGAGGUUAACGUCUGCUGCCAUUGAGAACGUGUUGAAUUCGAAGGAGUUGGAGGUUAAUUCCACAUUGAUUCCCACCGAAGCUGAACUCGAAGAG